AAUGAACGCUGGCGGCAUGCCUAACACAUGCAAGUCGAACGACCACACAAUAAGAGUGUGCUCCUACCGGUGGCGAGGGGCGGGCGAGUGAGGCGUGCAUCACCUUCUACUUUUUCUUGGAUAACAACGGAAGACAACUGACAAUACUACCUCAUACGUCCUACCGCUGAGAUCAGGAGAUCUUGACACUUUUGCCGAUUCUUUUAGCCGAUGUCGCGUCGGAUUAGCUAGUUGGUAAGGUAACGGCUUACCAAGGCGACGAUGCGUAGCUGACCUGAGAGGAUGAUCAGCCACACUGGAACUGAGACACGGUCCAGACUCCUACGGGAGGCAGCAGUGGGGAAUAUUGGACAAUGGGCGCAAGCCUGAUCCAGCAAUGCCGCGUGGGUGAAGAAGGCCUUCGGGUUGUAAAGCCCUGUUGUUAGGAAAGAAAAGCAGUAUGUGAAUACAUGGCUGUCUUGACGGUACCCAAAGAAUAAGCACCGGCUAACUACGUG
rnacentral:rRNA from 1 species